ensembl:lncRNA
CAAACACUCAAACUGGACAGUUUGAACUCAAUCUCUUCAUUCAAAGACUCAAUCAUGGACACUCUUACUGACAGUUAUGGCUGUUUUGGGUGAAUGUAAUUCACAACAGUCUUGAAAUUCAAGGAUUGCAUGUUCGCAUCACGUUGGGGACAACUGUAGCAUUUUAGCUAACUUUCUUAACCUAAACAUAAUUCUAAAUGUAAUCCAAUUCACCUAACCUGAUAUGUAAAUUCUCCCUGUAAUUCUCCUUUGUUGUUAUGGUACAAAUAGCAACCUGGUCUCAGAUAACUGUGAUCAGACCAAGUACUUUGAGGUUGCUCUGAAGCGGAAAGGUGGAAUAAACGAGUCAGGAGCAGGUUUUCUUAAUUGAACAAAGUUCUCUAUUGAGGAAUUUUGUUCUUCUUAAACAUUCCAACACAAUCAAGGUUGAUCUCCCAAGGAAAACACUAAUCUUCUUUUUUUUCCAAGAACAAGGAACAUAAGGAGAGCAUCUUUAAACUAUAACAUAAAUCACAGGUGUGUCACCGCCUUAACGAUCCAUCCAUGGAGAGCUCCCUUCCGGUGGUUGUCCGGAUCCAUGGUGACCCUCCCCAAGAGGUGUUGGGUCCCCUUCUCCCUUCCGAAAGGUAAUCUUAGGUUUUAUUACAUACAGUCGGGAGGAACUACUGAAUAUAAGAGCAACGUCAACUCACCAUCAUUACGACCAGGAAUACGACUUUCCCGAAGCGGAUCCUGUGUUUUGCCCCCCACCCAGGACAAUGGAUCGGAUCCCUGCCGGCAAACCAAAACAACGUUGCCGUAAAAGGGGAAACGAAGCGGUCUUCCUGGUCAGGCUCCGGAGACGGGCACAUCGCGCACCACUCCCUAGCAUACUACUCGCCCAUGUCCAGUCUCUUGACAACAAGGUUGAUGAAAUCCGAGCAAGGGUAGCAUUCCAGAGAGACAUCAGAGACUGUAACGUUCUUUGCUUCACGGAAACAUGGCUCACUCGAGACACGCUAUCAGAGAUGGUACAGCCAGCUGGUUUCUUCACGCAUUGCGCCG